rnacentral:rRNA from 1 species
AUUGAACGCUGGCGGCAGGCCUAACACAUGCAAGUCGAACGGUAACAGGAAGAAGCUUGCUUCUUUGCUGACGAGUGGCGGACGGGUGAGGAAUGUCUGGGAAACUGCCUGAUGGAGGGGGAUAACUACUGGAAACGGUAGCUAAUACCGCAUAACGUCGCAAGACCAAAGAGGGGGACCUUCGGGCCUCUUGCCAUCGGAUGUGCCCAGAUGGGAUUAGCUAGUAGGUGGGGUAACGGCUCACCUAGGCGACGAUCCCUAGCUGGUCUGAGAGGAUGACCAGCCACACUGGAACUGAGACACGGUCCAGACUCCUACGGGAGGCAGCAGUGGGGAAUAUUGCACAAUGGGCGCAAGCCUGAUGCAGCCAUGCCGCGUGUAUGAAGAAGGCCUUCGGGUUGUAAAGUACUUUCAGCGGGGAGGAAGGGAGUAAAGUUAAUAUCUUUGCUCAUUGACGUUACCCGCAGAAGAAGCACCGGCUAACUCCGUG